rnacentral:rRNA from 1 species
UACAGAGGGUGCGAGCGUUAAUCGGAAUUACUGGGCGUAAAGGGCGCGUAGGCGGUUGUAUAAGAUUGUUGUGAAAUCCCUGGGCUUAACCUAGGAACUGCAACGAUGACUGUAUAGCUAGAGUAUUGUAGAGGGUAGUGGAAUUUCCGGUGUAGCGGUGAAAUGCGUAGAGAUCGGAAGGAACACCAGUGGCGAAGGCGGCUACCUGGACAAAUACUGACGCUGAGGCGCGAGAGCGUGGGGAGCAAACAGG